rnacentral:rRNA from 1 species
CGCAAGCCUGACGGAGCAAGACCGCGUGCGGGAUGACGGCCUAAUGGUUGUAAACCGCUUUUCUCUGGGAAGAUGAUGACGGUACCAGAGGAAUCAGCCUCGGCUAACUCCGUGCCAGCAGCCGCGGUAAUACGGAGGAGGCAAGCGUUAUCCGGAAUUAUUGGGCGUAAAGCGUCCGUAGGUGGUUAUUCAAGUCUGCUGUCAAAGCGUGAGGCUUAACUCCAUAGAGGCAGUGGAAACUGGAUGACUUGAGUGCGGUAGGGGUCGAGGGAAUUCCCAGUGUAGCGGUGAAAUGCGUAGAUAUUGGGAAGAACACCAGUGGCGAAAGCGCUCGACUGGGCCUGCACUGACACUGAGGGACGAAAGCUAGGGGAGCG